AACGAACGCUGGCGGCAUGCCUAACACAUGCAAGUCGAACGAGACCUUCGGGUCUAGUGGCGCACGGGUGCGUAACGCGUGGGAACCUGCCCUUAGGUUCGGAAUAACUCCCCGAAAGGGGUGCUAAUACCGGAUAAUGUCUUCGGACCAAAGAUUUAUCGCCUUUGGAUGGGCCCGCGUUGGAUUAGCUAGUUGGUAGGGUAAAAGCCUACCAAGGCGACGAUCCAUAGCUGGUCUGAGAGGAUGAUCAGCCACACUGGGACUGAGACACGGCCCAGACUCCUACGGGAGGCAGCAAUGGGGAAUAUUGGACAAUGGGCGAAAGCCUGAUCCAGCAAUGCCGCGGGAGUGAUGAAGGCCUUAGGGUUGUAUAGCUCUUUUACCCGGGAUGAUAAUGACAGUACCGGGAGAAUAAGCUCCGGCUAACUCCGUG
rnacentral:rRNA from 1 species